GCUCGUGUGGCGGAAUUGGCAGACGCAGCGGACUUAAAAUCCGUCGGAAUUAAACCUCCGUGCCGGUUCAAGUCCGGCCAUGAGCACCA
rnacentral:tRNA from 1 species